AGUGAACGCUGGCGGUAGGCCUAACACAUGCAAGUCGAACGGCAGCACAGUAAGAGCUUGCUCUUACGGGUGGCGAGUGGCGGACGGGUGAGGAAUACAUCGGAAUCUACUUUUUCGUGGGGGAUAACGUAGGGAAACUUACGCUAAUACCGCAUACGACCUACGGGUGAAAGCAGGGGAUCUUCGGACCUUGCGCGAUUGAAUGAGCGGAUGUCGGAUUAGCUAGUUGGCGGGGUAAAGGCCCACCAAGGCGAGGAUCCGUAACUGGUCUGAGAGGAUGAUCAGCCACACUGAAACUGAGACACGGUCCAGACUCCGACGGGAGGCAGCAGUGGGGAAGAGUGGACAAUGGGCGCAAGCCUGAUCCAGCCAUACCGCGUGGGUGAAGAAGGCCUUCGGGUUGUAAAGCCCUUUUGUUGGGAAAGAAAAGCAGCAGGUUAAUACCCCGCUGUUCUGACGGUACCCAAAGAAUAAGCACCGGCUAACUUCGU
rnacentral:rRNA from 1 species